GUCAUUCUCUCUCUCUCUCUCGUGUUCUCUCUCUCUCCCUCCCAUCCCAGGGCAGGGGAUCUCCCCAGGGCAUAGAGGAAUCAAGAGGAGAGAGUGGCACGAUUGGGGUGAUUGGGCAAUGGUGGCACGAUUGGGGUGGCUGGAAGGUGGUGGCACAGCCAAGAUGGCCAGUAGCUUGGUUGCACACAAGGAAGUUGAGAGAGAGAGAGAGAGGAAAGGUGUGUUUUCCCUUGCCACCUUGGUGAUGGCACCCAAGGCUAAAAGAAUGAUAAGGGGAGGAGAGAAUGGAAAUGGCAGCGGUAGUGCUUAAUUCAAUGGGGAAGAGGCCGACCAAUCUCAAAAUAGGGGAAGGAAAAACAAAGGGAUUGGUGGCUUUUGAGGAGGAGAAAUGGGUUUAGGGUGUAGCGGUGUUCGACUAUGGAAGCUUGGCAGCUACUAGAGGUGAGGAUG
rnacentral:lncRNA from 1 species